rnacentral:rRNA from 1 species
UACACAUGCAGUCGAACGGUAGCACAGAGUAGCUUGCUCUCGGGUGACGAGUGGAGGACGGGUGAGUAAUGUCUGGGAAACUGCCUGAUGGAGGGGGAUAACUACUGGAAACGGUAGCUAAUACCGCAUAACGUCGCAAGACCAAAGAGGGGGACCUUCGGGCCUCUUGCCAUCAGAUGUGCCCAGAUGGGAUUAGCUAGUAGGUGGGGUAACGGCUCACCUAGGCGACGAUCCCUAGCUGGUCUGAGAGGAUGACCAGCCACACUGGAACUGAGACACGGUCCAGACUCCUACGGGAGGCAGCAGUGGGGAAUAUUGCACAAUGGGCGCAAGCCUGAUGCAGCCAUGCCGCGUGUAUGAAGAAGGCCUUCGGGUUGUAAAGUACUUUCAGCGGGGAGGAAGGCGAUAAGGUUAAUAACCUUGUCGAUUGACGUUACCCGCAGAAGAAGCACCGGCUAACUCCGUGCCAGCAGCCGCGGUAAUACGGAGGGUGCAAGCGUUAAUCGGAAUUACUGGGCGUAAAGCGCACGCAGGCGGUCUGUCAAGUCGGAUGUGAAAUCCCCGGGCUCAACCUGGGAACUGCAUUCGAAACUGGCAGGCUGGAGUCUUGUAGAGGGGGGUAGAAUUCCAGGUGUAGCGGUGAAAUGCGUAGAGAUCUGGAGGAAUACCGGUGGCGAAGGCGGCCCCCUGGACAAAGACUGACGCUCAGGUGCGAAAGCGUGGGGAGCAAACAGGAUUAAGAUACCCUGGUAGUCCACGCUGUAAAC